AACCUGCCCCAUAGUCUGGGAUACCACUUGGAAACAGGUGCUAAUACCGGAUAAGAAAGCAGAUCGCAUGAUCAGCUUUUAAAAGGCGGCGUAAGCUGUCGCUAUGGGAUGGCCCCGCGGUGCAUUAGCUAGUUGGUAAGGUAAAUGCUUACCAAGGCGAUGAUGCAUAGCCGAGUUGAGAGACUGAUCGGCCACAUUGGGACUGAGACACGGCCCAAACUCCUACGGGAGGCAGCAGAC
rnacentral:rRNA from 1 species